UGGAAGUAAAAAAACGUAACAAGGUUUCCGUAGGUGAACCUGCGGAAGGAUCAUUAUUGAAUUUUAAUGAAGAGUUUGGUUGUAGCUGGUCUAUUUAUUUAGGCAUGUGCACACCUCCCUCUUUCAUCCCACACACACCUGUGAACUUGUGAGACAGUUGGGGAAUUUAUUUGUUAUUAUUUGUAAUAAAAUGAUAAUAAGUCAUUGAACCCUUCUGUCUACUCAACUCAUAUAAACUCAAUUUAUUUUAAAUGAAUGUAAUGGAUGUAACACAUCUCAUACUAAGUUUCAACAACGGAUCUCUUGGCUCUCGCAUCGAUGAAGAACGCAGCGAAAUGCGAUAAGUAAUGUGAAUUGCAGAAUUCAGUGAAUCAUCGAAUCUUUGAACGCACCUUGCGCUCCUUGGUAUUCCUUGGAGCAUGCCUGUUUGAGUAUCAUGAAAUCUUCAAAAUCAAUCUUUUUGUUAACUCAAUUAGUUUGAUUUUGGUAUUGGAGGUCUAUUGCAGCUUCACACCUGCUCCUCUUUGUGUAUUAGCUGGAUCUCAGUGUUAUGCUUGGUUCCACUCAGCGUGAUAAAUUAUCUAUCGCUGAGGACACUGUAAAAAGUGGCCAAGGUAAAUGCAGAUGAACCGCUUCUAAUAGUCCAUUGACUUGGACACUAUUAUUAUGAUCUGAUCUCAAAUCAGGUAGACAUCCCCCGUU
rnacentral:rRNA from 1 species